CUAAACCAGCUAUAAAUAAGCGAUAGUAUGCGGACCACAGGCACACCACUUACUCCUUAGUGCUAUAUGCACCAUCUCACCAGGGGUGCACACCUCCUUCUAUCCAGGCUACCGACUGCGGCAUAGUGUCUGACGAAGGCCUAUGUGCCGAAAACGUUCACACACGAAAUUGCCACAUGUCUAUCUGAUUGAUGCA